GAUGAACGCUGACAGAAUGCUUAACACAUGCAAGUCUACUUGAUUCUACUUCGGUAGUUGAUGGUGGCGGACGGGUGAGUAACGCGUAAAGAAUCUGCCCUUUAGUUUGGGAUAACCUUUGGAAACGAAGGCUAAUACCGGAUAUUGUGGAGACGUCGCAUGGCGACUCCAUGAAAGCUAUAUGCGCUAGAGGAGGACUUUGCGUCCCAUUAGUUAGUUGGUGAGGUAAUGGCUCACCAAGACCGCGAUGGGUAGCCGGCCUGAGAGGGUGAUCGGCCACAAGGGAACUGAGACACGGUCCUUACUCCUACGGGAGGCAGCAGUGGGGAAUAUUGGACAAUGGGCCACAAGCCUGAUCCAGCAAUUCUGUGUGCACGAUGAAGGUCUUCGGAUUGUAAAGUGCUUUCAGUAGGGAAGAAAAAAAUGACGGUACCUACAGAAGAAGCGACGGCUAAAUAUGUGCCAGCCGCCGCCGUAACAC
rnacentral:rRNA from 1 species